GGAAAGGUGCUAGAGUGGUUGAAUAGGACGGUCUCGAAAACCGUUGUAGGGGUAACCCUACCGAGGGUUCGAAUCCCUCCCUUUCCG
rnacentral:tRNA from 1 species